CUUCAUUUUCAAUCUCUUCUGGGGCUACAGGAGAAUCACUUUGCAUCUUAUGACAAAUGAAGAUGUUACCUAAAUAAAUACAGAAUUAAUAUAUAGCAGCCUGCAAACUCCCACCUAGGAAAGAACAACAGAGAGCAGCCCCACAGAAUGGAGAAAAGCUAUACCGGAGCCUUAACUCCAUAACCCAAGAUGCCAUCUGGAGACAAUACUGUAACUGACAGGAUUGUGCCCUAGGAGGAAACAGCCAGCUCCUGGACAGCUCUUCUCAAACCAUCUUGAUGGUGCAGACUUCUGGGUACCACAUCACUAGAACAAGGGGAGCACGCUUCGUAAAACUUCAGUGACAGAAGACAUCACAAGAAAAUACUGCCUCUAGCGAGAGGUUAAUCGUUCCAUCCUGAAUAGUUUGGAAUCCUGGUGGUUGCACAAUGGAUCUACUGCUGGAAAGCUUUCAGAUUUCAGAGGCUGACCCACAGAAAAACCAAUGAACAAACUGACAUGCCUUCUUACUCUUGUGAACCCGUACAAGAUCCCAAACUGCUCUUCAAACAACGAUGACCUUCUUUACCAACCAUGGAGAUACUUCUUCGCUGUCUACACCGGACCCAGCUGCCUCUGCCUUGUAACUCCCCUGUACGUUCCCCAACUGAACGGUGUUGGCCCAUAGGUAGGGACAUCUAUACGCCCCUAUUCAGCAGGAAGAAGCUAGAAAGAGACCUUCUGCUUUCAACAAUCUUAAAGACUUAAGGGUAAGAUACGAGGAGAAAACAAAAAGCAAGCUGACAGAAAAACACGAGCUGACACCCCGUAAUCCCACCUUCUCCACGCUUAAGGUGGGAUAUAUAACAUUCCUCAGGCACUAGGAACUGCCUAAGAACAAAGGCAAGGGAAAAAUAAAUGGGCAGUUGAUAAAGAUCACAGGCAUGUAGGACAUGAAACUCCACUACAGUUUGUAACUGUCUUAAUGAUUUACAAGAAUAACACAAUAAGAAAUCUCCAGGAACCUAUUGACUCCUAUAGGCCUUUCCUGGAGCCCUAACAUCACCUUCACCUCCAUAGGAUGGAAAACCCUAUAUAAUCAGUCACUCCUCACAAUCACAAUGCAGCUCUUUCUGUCCACAGGUCCUGGCCCCAAGCUGUAAU